GCGUCCGUGGUGUAGCAGCAACACGCCACUCUUCCAAAGUGGGUACGCGGGUGCGACUCCCGCCGGAUGCU
rnacentral:tRNA from 1 species